rnacentral:tRNA from 1 species
GCGGGCGUGGUGGAAUGGUAGACACACCGGACUUAAAAUCCGGAGACUGUAUAGUCGUACGAGUUCGAGUCUCGUCGCCCGCA